CCAGAUUUGAGGAUCCCUGCACUAGAUGGUUGAGUACAUAUUCAUCAGAGAAAGUCAGACUCAGUGGUGGCUCCCAGUGUGACCUGUCGUGAUGGUCAUUCUUUAGAUUUUCCACUGAAUUUUCUUUGAAAAUUCUCUUCAUGCUCUCAGAACAGGUGAGUGUGUUAAGGAGUAAACCGCAAUGGAUCCUUUAUUGGAAAGUGAAUCUCCUGCACUCAAGCAGAAACCAUCAGACUCUGAAGUGACCAGCUGUGUGUCCAUGAAGAGUGACUCAUCAAAGGAACUGGAUAUUGAAUUCAAAGGUGACAACACUUCUGAAGACCGGUACAUUCAUGGACAAUCUUGUGUCGCUAUCACUUCCUAUCUCUCGUUAAAAUGUCAUAUCAAAAUAAUACAAAAACAGAUAUUUAACAUAUAGCAAAAUUACAUAUAGCAU